rnacentral:rRNA from 1 species
ACGGGAGGCAGCAGUGGGGAAUAUUGCACAAUGGGCGAAAGCCUGAUGCAGCGACGCCGCGUGAGCGAAGAAGUAUUUCGGUAUGUAAAGCUCUAUCAGCAGGGAAGAAGAAAUGACGGUACCUGACUAAGAAGCCCCGGCUAACUACGUGCCAGCAGCCGCGGUAAUACGUAGGGGGCAAGCGUUAUCCGGAUUUACUGGGUGUAAAGGGAGCGUAGGCGGUUAGGCAAGUCAGAUGUGAAAGCCCGGGGCUCAACUCCGGGACUGCAUUUGAAACUGUCUUACUUGAGUAGCGGAGAGGUAAGCGGAAUUCCUAGUGUAGCGGUGAAAUGCGUAGAUAUUAGGAAGAACACCGGUGGCGAAGGCGGCUUACUGGACGAUUACUGACGCUGAGGCUCGAAAGCGUGGGGAGCAAACAGGAUUAGAUACCCUGGUA